rnacentral:rRNA from 1 species
UACGUAGGGGGCAAGCGUUGUCCGGAUUUAUUGGGCGUAAAGAGCGUGUAGGCGGCCAGAUAAGUCUGCUGUGAAAACUCGAGGCUCAACCUCGAGCUGUCGGCGGAAACUAUUUGGCUAGAGUCCGGAAGAGGAGAAUGGAAUUCCUGGUGUAGCGGUGAAAUGCGCAGAUAUCAGGAAGAACACCAACGGCGAAGGCAGCUCGCUAGGACGGUACUGACGCUGAGACGCGAAAGCGUGGGGAGCGAACAGG